AGGCUCAUGGUUCGCGUACGAUCGCCGAAAUUAAGCAACGUCGAGCCUGGUCAGUACCUGGAUGAGUGACCGCUUGGGAAUACCAGGUGUUGUAAG